UUUGAUACCACCGCNCGUUAAGACGGUUUCUGAAUUGAUCCCGAGGAUUUCGAUUCNGUGGUGCGGKNAUUUUCCCUNAUGGGCUUCCGUCCCUUCUYCCAGAAGGCUGGGGACCACGUUUUGUGACAYGUCAAGGAACUGCCCUCGGCCAGCCUGCCUUCGSCCCCUGKGCACGGGUUGAGUCGAGGGGCUACGGUGUUCUKCAAUUUAUACCAAGUCUCGCAUUUCGCUACCUUCUUCCUCGAUGCGAGAACCAAAAUAUCCGUAGCCGAGAGUCGUUGUGAACUUAAUAGUACCGCGAACCCUCCACUCUUUCCCCGCCCAUGGGGC
rnacentral:misc_RNA from 1 species